ACACACACACGCAUCAAUACUUGUCAGUGUUGCACUGCUUGUGUGUGUGUGUGUGUGUGUUACCAUGUAUAUGAUCAUGUAUUCGAAAUAACGGACUGAAGUGUAUACUGUAUAUGUGAGUUGGAUACUGUCUUGUAUAUAUGCGGUUGCCAUCGGACAGCUUUGUUUGGACAGUAUAUACAUAGACACACACACACACAUAUACUUGUAGAUACACAUAUAUGCAUAUAAAUAUAUAUAUACACAUACACCCACCACCACUACUACAUGCACACAGGGAUGUAGAUAAAUGAAUUUACACACCCACUCUUUCCACACAUACAGAGGCACGCUUGUAUGCACAAACACACAGGUUUUCAGUGGAUACUCACAGCCACAGCUGUAAACAGUCUGGAAAGGCACACGUGGCUGUUGGACAAGAAGACAACCUGUAUGGACCUGUAUCUAUGAGUGUGUAAGAACCACGCGUAUAUAUGAGCAUCAGAGAAAAAUAUUUCUGGAACCAAAAUGAAUUCAUAUCAAUGAACAUACUCUUCUUGUUGUUGAAUGUCAUAUCUAGUUGCCUGAAGAAUCUUUCAACUGACAUUAGCUACAACAUGAACUGUACAAUAUUUUUACUGGAAAUCAGUGCGUUUAUAAAAUCGGAGCUAAGCGUAAAAAUCAACCCACAGGAUACUACACAGAGUAUAUAGAAAAUUGCUCAAGGUAUCACGCAGGGAGAUCGAAUGAUCUGACUGCGGCCAUGCUGGAGCACGGUACUGAAGAAUUCUUAGUCGAAUGUAUUGACCCCAGGACUUCUGUUUUUAAGCCUAGUACAUAUUCUAUCGAUCUCUCAAACCGAACCGCUGAAUCAGUCUGCUAUAAUAAAUCCAUAAGCACAUAUAAAACAUCCAAGGGUAUACCUUUUCUCCACUGAAAAUAUUAUGCUCACGACAUAUAAAUAGGAAUUUAAUAUUU